UACACGACCGUACCGCAAACCGACACUGGUGCGCGAGAUGAGUAUUCUAAGGCGCUUGAGAGAACUCAGGAGAAGGAACUCGGCAAAUUGACACCGUAACUUCGGAAGAAGGUGUGCCCUAUUAGUGUGAAGUGAACAACGGAGCAUGAAUGGGUUGCAAAAAAUCGGUGGCUGCGACUGUUUAUUAAAAACACAGCACUCUGCAAACACGAAAGUGGACGUAUAGGGUGUGACGCCUGCCCGGUGCUGGAAGAUUAAAUGAUGGGGUGCAAGCUCUUGAUUGAAGUCCCAGUAAACGGCGGCCGUAACAAUAACGGUCCUAAGGUAGCGAAAUUCCUUGUCGGGUAAGUUCCGACCUGCACGAAUGGCGUAACGAUGGCCACACUGUCUCCUCCUGAGACUCAGCGAAGUUGAAAUGUUUGUGAUGAUGCAAUCUCCCCGCGGAAAGACGGAAAGACCCCAUGAACCUUUACUGUAGCUUUGUAUUGGACUUUGAACAGAUCUGUGUAGGAUAGGUGGGAGGCUUUGAAGCAGGGUCGCUAGAUCUUGUGGAGCCAACGUUGAAAUACCACCCUGGUGUGUUUGAGGUUCUAACCUAGGUCCAUUAUCUGGAUCGGGGACAGUGCAUGGUAGGCAGUUUGACUGGGGCGGUCUCCUCCCAAAGCGUAACGGAGGAGUUCGAAGGUACGCUAGUUACGGUCGGACAUCGUGACGAUAGUGCAAUGGCAUAAGCGUGCUUAACUGCGAGACUGACAAGUCGAGCAGAUGCGAAAGCAGGACAUAGUGAUCCGGUGGUUCUGUAUGGAAGGGCCAUCGCUCAACGGAUAAAAGGUACUCUGGGGAUAGCAGGCUGAUACCGCCCAAGAGUUCAUAUCGACGGCGGUGUUUGGCACCUCGAUGUCGGCUCAUCUCAUCCUGGGGCUGUAGCCGGUCCCAAGGGUAUGGCUGUUCGCCAUUUAAAGAGGUACGUGAGCUGGGUUUAAAACGUCGUGAGACAGUUUGGUCCCUAUCUUCCGUGGGCGCUGCAGAUUUGAGGAAGCCUGCUCCUAGUACGAGAGGACCGGAGUGGACACACCUCUGGUGUAUCGGUUGUCACGCCAGUGGCAUUGCCGAGUAGCUAAGUGUGGAAGAGAUAACCGCUGAAAGCAUCUAAGCGGGAAACUCGUUUCAAGAUGAGAUCUGCCGGGGCCUUGAGCCCCCUGAAGAGUCGUUCAAGACCAGGACGUUGAUAGGUCAGGUGUGGAAGCCAG
rnacentral:rRNA from 1 species